AUGGAGAGUUUGAUCCUGGCUCAGGAUGAACGCUGGCGGUAUGCUUAACACAUGCAAGUCGAACGAAAGUUUUUAACUUUAGUGGCGAACGGGUGCGUAAUACGUGAGAAUCUGCCCUUAGGAGGAGGAUAACUACUGGAAACGGUUGCUAACACUCCAUAUGUCGAGAG
rnacentral:rRNA from 1 species